AGCCAGACUCCUACGGGAGGCAGCAGUGAGGAAUAUUGGUCAAUGGGCGCAAGCCUGAACCAGCCAAGUCGCGUGAGGGAAGACGGCCCUACGGGUUGUAAACCUCUUUUGCCGGGGAGCAAGCCUGAGCACGUGUGCCCAGGCGGAGAGUACCCGGAGAAAAAGCAUCGGCUAACUCCGUGCCAGCAGCCGCGGUAAUACGUAGGGGGCGAGCGUUAUCCGGAAUUACUGGGUGUAAAGGGAGCGUAGACGGCGAGGUAAGCCUGAAGUGGAAGCCCGCGGCCCAACCGCGGAACUGCUUUGGGAACUGUUUUGCUGGAGUAUGGGAGGGGUAAGCGGAAUUCCUGGUGUAGCGGUGAAAUGCGUAGAUAUCAGGAGGAACACCGGUGGCGAAGGCGGCUUACUGGACCAUAACUGACGUUGAGGCUCGAAAGCGUGGGGAGCGAACAGGAUUAGAUACCCGUGUA
rnacentral:rRNA from 1 species